rnacentral:rRNA from 1 species
ACUCCUACGGGAGGCAGCAGUAGGGAAUCUUCCACAAUGGACGAAAGUCUGAUGGAGCAACGCCGCGUGAGUGAAGAAGGGUUUCGGCUCGUAAAAACCUUUGUUGUUAAAGAAAGAACAUAUCUGAGAGUAACUGUUCAGGUAUUGACGGUAUUUAACCAGAAAGCCACGGCUAACUACGUGCCAGCAGCCGCGGUAAUACGUAGGUGGCAAGCGUUGUCCGGAUUUAUUGGGGCGUAAAGCGAGCGCAGGCGGUUUUUUAAAGUCUGAUGUGAAAGCCUUCGGCUCAACCCGAAGAAGUGCAUCGGAAACUGGGAAACUUGAGUGCAGAAGAGGACAGUGGAACUCCAUGUGUAGCGGUGAAAUGCGUAGAUAUAUGGAAGAACACCAGUGGCGAAGGCGGCUGUCUGGUCUGUAACUGACGCUGAGGCUCGAAAGUAUGGGUAGCAAACAGGAUUAGAUACCCUGGUAGGAUAGCG